rnacentral:rRNA from 1 species
GACGAACGCUGGCGGCGUGCCUAAUACAUGCAAGUCGAGCGAAUCUGAGGGAGCUUGCUCCCGAAGAUUAGCGGCGAACGGGUGAGUAACACGUGGGUAACCUACCCUAUCGCCCGGGAUAACCCUCGGAAACGGGGGCUAAUACCGGAUGCAGUCACCGGAUUGCAUGAUGCGGUGAUGAAAAGGCUUCGGCCACUUAGGGAUGGGCCCGCGGCGCAUUAGCUAGUUGGUGAGGUAACGGCUCACCAAGGCGACGAUGCGUAGCCGACCUGAGAGGGUGAUCGGCCACACUGGGACUGAGACACGGCCCAGACUCCUACGGGAGGCAGCAGUAGGGAAUUUUCCGCAAUGGGCGAAAGCCUGACGGAGCAACGCCGCGUGAGUGAAGACGGCCUUCGGGUUGUAAAGCUCUGUUCUUGGGGAAGAAAAAAAUGACGGUACCCAAGGAGAAAGCCCCGGCUAACUAC